CGAGUUGUAAUCUAUAGAGGCGUUUUCCGCGCCGGACCGCGUCCAAGUCUCUUGGAAUAGAGUAUCAAAGAGGGUGACAAUCCCGUACUUGACGCGACAACCGGUGCUCUGUGAUACGUUCUCAAUGAGUCGAGUUGUUUGGGAAUGCAGCUCUAAAUGGGUGGUAAAUUCCAUCUAAGGCUAAAUAUUGGCGAGAGACCGAUAGCGAACAAGUACCGUGAGGGAAAGAUGAAAAGCACUUUGGAAAGAGAGUUAAACAGCACGUGAAAUUGUUAAAAGGGAAACGAUUGAAGUCAGUCGUGUGAAAGGUAUUCAGCCGUCUCUGGCGGUGUAUUUGCCUUUCACGGGUCAACAUCAGUUUGAUCCGGUAGAAAAAGGCGGGAGGAAGGUGGCACCCUCGGGUGUGUUAUAGCCUCCUGUCAUAUGUGCCGGACCAGACUGAGGAACGCAGCUUGCCGCAAGGCCGGGGUUCGCCCACGUACAAGCUUAGGAUGUUGACAUAAUGGCUUUAAACGACCCGU
rnacentral:rRNA from 1 species